UGCUGGUUUCGACUUCGGUAAUAGUCAAUAUAUAAGAAAUACCUAUCACCGGGUGGAAACUGGUGCG
rnacentral:miRNA from 1 species